AGGAAGUUAGUUUAAAUAAAACCUUUGAUUUCGGCUCAAAAACCUGUGGUUAAAGUCCACAACUACCUA
rnacentral:tRNA from 1 species